rnacentral:lncRNA from 1 species
GAUUUCAGCGGCUUCUGAGGAGCGUCUUCAAAAGGCGGCCCCGCGGGGCUGAGGCGCGUUGCUGACGCUAUUGUUGGAAUUCCCGCCCGGAGGCCUCCGCAGGCACCGUGUUGUGUGAGGCAGUCAAGCCAGACAGAGCGCAAAGGAAGAAGGAAAGGAGGACAUACAGAUGGGGAGGAGACAACAGCAAAGCUUCUCAAGGUUAUAUCUCAGCUGCCAAAAAUGAGACAGUGUGAAGAACAGAAACCAAUGCCAUGAGCAGCCCCAGAUGAAUCCUGUGAUGGCUCGUCUGUGAGCAGAAAGAUGAUAGUUACUCUCUUGAGCCAUACAAGUACGAGGCUGGCCCCAAUCCUUCCCGAUAAGCAUCAAAUGGCGACAACUAGCUACAAGAAAUUCCUCCAGCAACAGAAUAAGUAUUGGCACGACAAGAAGUAAUCUACUGAUGGGAAUAGAGGCACUGAAAAUCAUCCCCUGACUAGUCAAUCCCAAAUUCACCUGCAAAUCCUCAUCCUGACACAAUCAGGAAGAUGUCAAAUGCAGGCACAUCAUGGACAGAUCUUGUACAUCUUUUCAGCAAUUCACCUUGGCCCUGAGCUAGAAGGAACUCCUGUUAGAGCUUCCAGGGACUUAAAAAUUUCAUUGAGGAGACAGUUUCUUUCAACCUUCAUGUCCAAUUCUGACACAGUCCUAAGAGCUGCCCGUAAUAUCCAGAAGGAGGAAGAUGUGCCUAAGGUGAACCACCAGAGGACUACCUUAUAG